AUUAUACUCCCUCCCUGAGAAAUUACUUGUCGUAGGAGUGGAUGCAUUUAGACUUUUUUAGUUCUAGAUACAUUCAUUUCUAUGCAUUUUUGUGACAAGUAAUUUUGGACGGAGGGAGUAUGAA
rnacentral:pre_miRNA from 2 species